UAGGAAAGAGUUGGCACGCUUCUGCUGCUGCUGAUUCACAAAAUUUAGAUGAAGGUGAUCCCAGGUUCAACUUCAGUAUCCUCAGAUGUACGUUCUUUAGGUAAACCAUCUUCUGGCUCCACUUCACUUGAUCCAGGAUAACAAAUGUCGCGACAGAAAUCCAUUCUCUUUUCCAAGAGACGCUUAUCAAAAUCAUGUCCACAGCUCCAGACUGAGGUUGAUGUAUUGCAACAUAUUUUUCUGCGAACAAAAAUUACAUUCAGCACUAGAUACAUCAUUGACUGUGAACUGAA